UACGUAGGGACCAAGCGUUGUUCGGAUUUACUGGGCGUAAAGGGCGCGUAGGCGGUCAGCACAAGUCAGUUGUGAAAUCUCCGGGCUUAACUACGGAAAGGUCAAACUUGAUACUGUGCGACUAGAGUGCGGAAGGGGCAACUGGAAUUCUCGGUGUAGCGGUGAAAUGCGUAGAUAUCGAGAGGAACACCUGCGGCGAAGGCGGGUUGCUGGGCCGACACUGACGCUGAUGCGCGAAAGCCAGGGGAGCGAACGGG
rnacentral:rRNA from 1 species